ACGGGUGAGUAAUACAUCGGAACGUAUCCUGGAGUGGGGGAUAGCCCGGCGAAAGCCGGAUUAAUACCGCAUACGCUCUGAGGAGGAAAGCGGGGGACCUUCGGGCCUCGCGCUCAAGGGGCGGCCGAUGGCGGAUUAGGUAGUUGGUGGGGUAAGGGCCUACCAAGCCGACGAUCCGUAGCUGGUCUGAGAGGACGACCAGCCACACUGGGACUGAGACACGGCCCAGACUCCUACGGGAGGCAGCAGUGGGGAAUUUUGGACAAUGGGGGCAACCCUGAUCCAGCAAUGCCGCGUGUGUGGAGAAGGCCUUCGGGUUGUAAAGCACUUUUGUCCGGAAAGAAAUCAUCGGGGCCAAUACCCCUGGUGGAUGACGGUACCGGAAGAAUAAGCACCGGCUAACUACGUGCCAGCAGCCGCGGUAAUACGUAGGGUGCGAGCGUUAAUCGGAAUUACUGGGCGUAAAGCGUGCGCAGGCGGUGCUGUAAGACCGAUGUGAAAUCCCCGGGCUUAACCUGGGAACUGCAUUGGUGACUGCAGCGCUGGAGUAUGGCAGAGGGGGGUGGAAUUCCACGU
rnacentral:rRNA from 1 species